ACAACACAGCUGCAACAUGUGAGCACACACACUCACACUCACACACUUUCUCUCAUACAACCACAUGCCAAAACUUACAGUUUGGGGUGAACCACCCCUGCACACAAACUCACACACAUUCAUACAGCACAAACAACCAUGCUCUAAGUUCACAAACUCUCACACAUUCAUACAGCACAAAUAACAAUGCCCUAGGUUCACAUUCAUACAGCACAUAUACCCCCAUGCUCUAGGUUCCUCUGUCCUGCUGCUUUAGCUGAGACUAUUCAAUGACAAUUGUGCUCAAUUCAGAUGCAGGAAGACAAAUGCCUGUCGACACAGAACAUAGUGGGAAAGCAGUCAGGCUGAGUGAUUUGGCAGCUGGGAGUGCGAUGGGAGACUGGGGUCUUGUUUGGGGCCGACCCAGUGUGGUUAGACAGGCCCACAUGCAUAAGCACAGCUAGUUUUAAACAGCCACAAAUGAGCACUCUCUUACGAACGCAACUGGCAGCAAGUCUCACCACAAACCACAGGAGGGAUCCCCCUGCUUGAUUUGAGGGGACUUUUUUUCCCUCCAUGCACUCCAGAGGAAACGGAGAAAAAAAGUAAAAUACAUUUAAAAAAAAAUAAAAAAUA